CCCUCUUCCUCCUCCCCCCUCCCUCCAAGCGUCCUCGCUCUUCUUCCCCCCUCUCUCCUCUCUCCUCUAUUCUUUUUCCCUGCAUCUUUUCCUCUUCCCACCCUGUCCCCUCCUCCCCCUCUUGCUCUGCUUUUUCUGCCCUCCCUCACUCCAUCUCUCCUCCUCCUUCUCCUCCCCCCAUCUCUCCUUCCUUUCCUCUUCACCUGCCCCUCCCUGAGGACUCCUCGUCCUCCUUCUCCUCCUCCGAUUCUUUUUAUUCUCCCAUUCUUCUCCCACUCGUUCGUCCCUCCUCCCCCUCUCGCUCUUCUUCUCCCAUUCCUCGGCCUGUCUCUCCUGACCCCUCCUCCUCCUCUUCCUUCUCCUCCUCUGAGUCUUUUUAUUCUCCCAUUCUUCUCCCACUCGUUCGUCCCUCCUCCCCCUCUCGCUCUUCUUCUCCCAUUCCUCGGCCUCUCUCUCCUAACCCCUCCUCCUCCUCCUGAUCUUCUCACUCUUCUUUUUCUAAAAAAAAAAAAAAAAACCCUCUUCUUUUUCGAAAAAAACUCUUCUUUUUCUCAAAAAAAUUAAAAAAAUUUUCUCAAAAAAAGAAAAAAAUUUCUCAAAAACUCUUCUUUUUCUAAAAAAAACUCUUCUUUUUCUCAGAAAAAUUUUCUUUUUCUAAAAAACAAAACAAAACAAAAACUCUUCUUUUUCUCCCUUCCCCCCUCUCUCCUAUCUACUCCCCCUCCUCCCCCUCUCACCCUUCUUUUUCUCCCCUCCCUUGGAGUUGCAGGAUAUCGGAGGACUCUUCUUCCCCUCCAAGUUUUUCUGUUGAGGGACCUCCUGACAAACAUACAGAAUGCUGACAAACAUGCAGGAGGUCCUCUCUUAGCAUUUUUUUCUAACCAGUGUGCGAGUUUCUCUCCUCAGAUGCCUCCUGCCUUACCUAAGAGGGCUGCUGGACUUCCUGCCAGCCAACCUCCAGGUAAGAAGGUUCACAAACCUUUCAUUUCAUUAAAUUUACCCCGUUUUGUUUUAAACAUUUUAGCUACGUGUGAUUUUCUGGAUGUGAUCUGGUCAGUUUUUAUUUGAAUGAAUCUCUUGUGAUUAUGUCUGAUCAGAUCUAUUCCAACUUUAUUUGGAUGAAUUUUCUUCGACUGUAUUUUGUGUGAUUCUGUCUGAGCUCGGUUCUUGUCGGUGGGACUCUUGUCAGGGUGCCCGUCAGAGGUGUGGGCGGAUCUGGGGGGCAUUGUGGGAAACCUCCUGUGGUGCCCCCCCUCACAGUGAAGCUCCGCUCUGUCAGAAGGUGAACAGGAUGCAGACGGCAUGUCACAGAGAAGCAACAUGUGCGUCUGUAUCCCACCCUGGACCCACAGUGGAGUCCACAGUGACAAGAUCACAGUUCAGGAGAGUCACACUGGGAUUAAAAGGGGUGGUUAAAUGUGUUAUUUAAGAUAGUAAGUGUAGUGUGAGGGUGAAAGUCUCGCUGCCAGAGGGAAGUUUCCAGGAGAGGUACGUAAGGAUCCCUGUGAAUGCUGCUGCAUGAAACGGUGAGUUUUGGAUUUUGACUUUGCAUUCAUAUAUCUAAUAUUUUUGAAAUCUCAACAAUAACACACGUCGACAAGAUUCUGCCGCGUUUUUCUUUUUGAUUUCUUUCAGACUGAUGAUCCCGGGACCCAAGACCAAGACAAGGACGACCCCAAAGACGAUUUGAAGACGAGUGACCGAGCCCCAAUAGAGAUGAAGCCAGAGACGACGACCGCCCUGUGAGGAGAAGAAACUUUGAGAUUUUACCGGAUGCACUGAAUUGGUGCUUCAACGACAUCAAGCAGAUUCAGACAGGAUGGACCAGAGAUGACGGGAGGCAGAUCCAGGACCAGUGCAUGACUCGUGAGACCAUGCAAUUAACACAAGAGCCAUCUCUCCAAGACCCCCGAUCUUAUGAAAGAUCAGAUCAAUAACCAAAUGAAAAGGUUUCUCUGGAUCUGGAGCUGCAUGUUUCUGAUCUGCUGUCGUCGGCUUCAGCGACCUUCAACGUCUUCAUGUUCUCUCCUUCCUCUCCACCCUCAACCCCACCAGAAGGUUUUUAAGCUUACCAACAACAGGAAGUUUUUUUCCUUCACACUGGGACCACAUGGUUGAUCUGAUCAACUGCAAAAAGAGAGAUCCUCAAAUAAAAAACAAAGGAACACAACAGAACUCUGUUUGUUUUAAAGUGUAACAUAAUGCACCCUUCCUUUUAUACUUAUUUUUGGAGAGCAUGUGUUAUGGUUCUCAAACUAAAUUAGUUUAAAAAAUGUGCUUUCAAACCACUGGUUUCUCACAAACACCUGGACUCCAUCUUAAAACUGCACAGCAUUUGAACAUACUGCUGGUUGAGUGUUUACUUGGAGUAAAUACACUAACAUUAACAGAUUGUAUCUGAAAUUCAGUCAUAAUGUGCACCAACUAGUGUCUGUUGCGGUUGACAAUAAAGUAGCUAUUCUGUUCUAUUCUGAUUAA